CCCCUGUGAACAGGCAUGUUGUAUUAUAUAACAUAUCUUGAGCAUUCUUGACAGACUCCUGGCUGUCAAUUUCUCAGUGGCAACUAUUUACUGGUUGAAAAUGGGAAGCAAUAAUAUUCAUCUGACCAGUUUUCUCUUAAAGCCAUUUCCAUGAUGAUGAUGGGACUCAAUUGUAUUUUUUAUUUCAGUCACUCCUGAUAAAUAACAAAUUUGGAGAAAUAAAAAUAUCUAAAAUAAAAAAUAAAAAUAAAAAAAAUAAAAAAACUACACUGGCUCAAACCCAUGGGCCACCCCCUCAUACAUUCUAAGUAUGUCACAGCGAGGAAGACUAGUAUGAUAAAAUAGCACAGGUUUUGGAGUUAGGCAUCGGGAUUUGAACCCUGGCUCAAUUGACUCAGCAGCUAAUUGGCUUUGGGAAAGUUAUUCCACCUCUCUGGUGCUUCCUGUCUUCCUCUAUAAAGUGGGAAUAGUAUUCAAACUUCCCUCAUAAGGUAGUUGAAAAAUAUACAUACAAUCACCUGGCACCAGAGGUACUGAACAAAUUUGAAGUCACUUUUAUCAGUUUUGGGUUUUUUUUUUUUCUUUUGUGUGUGUGUGUGUGUGAGAGAGAGAGAGACAGACAGACAGACAGAGAGAGAGAAAUGGAGUCUCGCUCUGUCACCAGGCUGAAGUAUAGUGGCACAAUCUUGGCUCACUGCAACCUCCACCUCCUGGGCUCAAGCAGUUUUCCUGCCUCAGCCUCUCGAGUAGUUGGGACUAUAGUUGCGUGCCACCACACCCAGCUAAUUUUUUUUUUUGUAUUUUUUAGUAGAGACGGGGUUUCACCGGGUUAGCCAGGAUGGUCUCGAUCUCCUGACCUCCUGAUCCGCCCGUCUCGGCCUCCCAAAGUGCUGGGAUUACAGGCUUGAGCCACCGCGCCCGGCCUCAAAUCUUUUUCUUUUUGAAAGUGAAAAUAAGUUUCUACUUUUUUAUAAUUCAUGCAUGAAUCCUAUUAAUCCUUCACAAAGGCAAUUUUACCCCCUCAAAAAUUCCAGAGACAGGGCCAGGCACAGUGGCUCACAUCUGUAAUCCUUUGGGAGGCCGAGGCAGGUGGAUCACCUGAGUAACAGAAAUUCCAGACUGCCUGGUUACGGUGAAACC
rnacentral:lncRNA from 1 species